rnacentral:rRNA from 1 species
AUGUCAUACAUUGCACAGGAGUUAGUUUGUUGGAAUGUUAGGGGACUCAAUAGCCCUGCUAAGAAGAAAGCCUUGAGGGAGUUUGUUGACACCAUUCAUGUCGCGAUAAUAUGUAUUCUCGAAACUAAGCUAGAGAGAGUUGACCAAUAUGUGAUAAUGCAAUGUUUAGGUCCAUCUUACGAUGGAUUUGCUUUCCUCCCGGCAUCAGAGACUAGGGGUGGCAUUUUUGUUGGGUGGGACUCCACUAGAGUUCAUCUCUCCAACUUUGCUCUAGACACUUUCUCCUUAACCGGGUAUGUCUAUCCUAGGGAGGGGCCAUCGUGGUGA